rnacentral:lncRNA from 1 species
GCUGAAUGCCGAAGAAUUGAUGCUUUUGAACUGUGGUGUUGGAGAAGACUCUUGAGAGUCCCUUGGACUGCAAGGAGAUCAAACAAGUCCAUCCUAAAGGACUUUUGCUGAAGCUGAAACUCCAAUAUUUUGGCCACCUGAUGUGAAGAGCUGACUCAUUAGAAAAGACUCUGAUGCUGGGAAAGAUUGAAAGCAGGAGGAGAAGGGGACGACAGAGGAUGAGAUGGUUGGAUGGCAUCACUCGAUGAACAUGAGUCUAAACAUUCUCUGGGAGUUGGUGAUGGACAGGAAAGCGUGGCAUACUACAGUUACAGCGUCACAAAGAGUUGGAUGCAACUGAGCAACUGAACUGAACUGAACUAAAUGACACAGGCAAUGUGUAAUAAGGUCGGUUAAGGGGAUAGAGAGAGAUAUUGCAGUUGGAUACAGUGACAGUUGAACACAGAAGGUUCUGGUUUGUUAGAAUCUUCCAUGGUACCUGGAGGCUAAGAGAAGCUGGUUGCUUUCAAGCCACAACAGUUGCUGAAGGAAGUGAGAUUACGUGCAGGGUCUCAUCCAUCCAGCCAUCAGCAGCCACAGAAAAUACAUGUUCGGCUGUAUAUUGUUUUAUCCAAUUUAAAGAGUUAAGUAGAAAAUGUUUUUCUGAUUGGAAGUCAUUUCUGCUCUUCCUGGGUUGUUAGGUACUUCAUCACAAGGGUAG